AUGAAUCCGUUAUGAUCAUGCAACUCCGACAGCUAAUCAUUCAAUUCUUCUCUAAAAAUGAUGUCUAUGCUUCAUCAAUUUACGAUCUCCAACUAUUUUUCGACACAUGUUCUAGUUCUAGGAGUAAUACAUGAUGAAUUAGCGGUAGCCCUGAUAAUCUGAAGAUACAUACAGCCUUAGCCAAUGCUAAUGCCCGGUAUUGAAGGACGAAGAGUAUCGCUAAAGUACACUCCGUUAAAUCUAUUCUCAAAUCCAAGGCGAAACAACAACACAGUCAACAUCAUACAAGAUCAAGGCCGAUCCAAACCAAAUGCUCCUCAGUUCAUUCAUUCAUUCACACAGGCACAAAUCUAAACGGCCAAUCAGGUAAAAACGGAUCCGCCGCUUAUC
rnacentral:lncRNA from 1 species